GUAAGUCACUUUGGAUAAAAGCGUCAGCUAAAUGAAUAAAUGUAAAAUGAAUAAAUGUUAUGUGGCAGGUAGCCGUGAAAUAAGCAGGAUAAUGUACAUCCAACCGGUUGUUCUUGCAGAAUAACAAUGAUCAGGACCCCGACGCGAAAAAUCCAGAUGUAAAACGAGCAAAAUUGUGGCACUGACUCUCUGAGGAAUCAAAAGUGCACCGUUCAUGAAAGCAAAGAGGCUUUCCAACUAAUGUAAAUCAAUAAUUACAUUACCGAGUGCCUGCAGUAUUCUGUUUUGACACACGGCUUCCUCCAAAAGUGAAUUGUUGAACUGGGAUAUUCCAUCAACAAACUUAAACAUGUAGCCUUCAUAUUUUAUUUCUUGGAUGGGAUUUUGGGCUUUUUCUGUUUAUUUCUUUUUUGUUGUUGUUGUUUUACAUAAUUUAGAUAAGUUGUAUAAUAAUAUUGAUAAAAUUUAAUAUUGAUUCUUGUAAUGAUUAAGAUAUUGUACUGUUAAACUUUUACAUCUGUACUGUACUGUAAAUAUAGAUGUUUUCCAUUAUUUGAGGUUCAAAUCGAAAUUGUUACAUUUUGUAUAUAUUGGUUGCUUUAAAAACAUUGUAAACUUAUUUUGAUCCUUUACAAAUAAAUAAACUUCACAAAAAAGGCCAA